ACUCCCUACGGGAGGCAGCAGUGGGGAAUAUUGCACAAUGGGGAAAACCCUGAUGCAGCCAUGCCGCGUGUGUGAAGAAGGCCUUCGGGUUGUAAAGCACUUUCAGUAGGGAGGAAGGUAGUGUAGUUAACACCUGCACUAUUUGACGUUACCUACAGAAGAAGCACCGGCUAACUCCGUGCCAGCAGCCGCGGUAAUACGGAGGGUGCGAGCGUUAAUCGGAAUUACUGGGCGUAAAGCGCAUGCAGGCGGCCUGUUAAGUCAGANGUGAAAGCCCGGGGCUUAACCUCGGAAUUGCAUUUGAAA
rnacentral:rRNA from 1 species